GCUGGCGGCAUGCUUAACACAUGCAAGUCGAACGGGAAGUGGUGUUUCCAGUGGCGAACGGGUGAGUAACGCGUAAGAACCUGCCCUUGGGAGGGGAACAACAACUGGAAACGGUUGCUAAUACCCCGUAGGCUGAGGAGCAAAAGGUGAAAUCCGCCCAAGGAGGGGCUCGCGUCUGAUUAGCUAGUUGGUGAGGCAAUAGCUUACCAAGGCGAUGAUCAGUAGCUGGUCCGAGAGGAUGAUCAGCCACACUGGGACUGAGACACGGCC
rnacentral:ncRNA from 1 species